rnacentral:rRNA from 1 species
UGGGGAAUUUUGGACAAUGGGGGAAACCCUGAUCCAGCCAUCCCGCGUGUGCGAUGUAGGCCUUCGGGUUGUAAAGCACUUUUUGCCGGAAAGAAACGUCAUGGGCUAAUACCCCGUGAAACUGACGGUACCUGCAGAAUAAGCACCGGCUAACUACGUUCCAGCAGCCGCGGUCAUACGUAGGGUGCAAGCGUUAAUCGGAAUUACUUGGCGUAAUGCGUGCGCAGUCUGUUUGGUAAGAAAGAUGUAAAAUCACAGAGCUCAGCGAUGAAACUGCAUUUUGAACUGGCGGGCUAGAGUGGGGCAGAGGGAGGGGGAAUGCCGGGUGUAGGAGGGAAAGGAAAAGAUAGGAGGAGGAACAGCGAUGGAGAAGGCAGCCAGGUGGGAUAAAAAUAACACUCAUGCAAGAAAGGGUGGGGAGGAAACAGG